rnacentral:rRNA from 1 species
UACGAAGGGGGCUAGCGUUGUUCGGAUUUACUGGGCGUAAAGCGCACGUAGGUGGGCGAUUAAGUCAGGGGUGAAAUCCCGGAGCUCAACUCCGGAACUGCCUUUGAUACUGGUCGUCUAGAGAUCGGAAGAGGUGAGUGGAAUUCCCAGUGUAGAGGUGAAAUUCGUAGAUAUUGGGAAGAACACCAGUGGCGAAGGCGGCUCACUGGUCCGAUACUGACGCUGAGGUGCGAAAGCGUGGGGAGCAAACAGG